rnacentral:lncRNA from 1 species
ACUUAGUAAAAGAGGCAGUAUUUAAAUCACACUAUCAAAGUUUCAAGAGUUGCAUUUUAAUUUUAAAAAUAAGCUAUCUCGUACUACUAUAGUCAAAUUAACCUUACCUUCAGAGAUCGUUGGACAUCACCAGUUUGGAAAUUUUAGAAAAACAUUUUGAUUUAGUUGUGAAGAUCAUUAAAAUACAUAUCCAAACUCCUAG